rnacentral:rRNA from 1 species
UACGAAGGGGGCAAGCGUUGUUCGGAAUUACUGGGCGUAAAGGGCGCGUAGGCGGCCAUUCCAGUCGCAUGUGAAAGCCCCGGGCUCAACCUGGGAAUGGCGCGCGAUACUGGGUGGCUGGAGUUCGGGAGAGGAGCGUGGAAUUCCCAGUGUAGAGGUGAAAUUCGUAGAUAUUGGGAAGAACACCGGUGGCGAAGGCGGCGCUCUGGACCGAGACUGACGCUGAGGCGCGAAGGCGUGGGGAGCAAACAGG